rnacentral:rRNA from 1 species
UAAACUUCUUUUAUUAAGGACGAAAAAUGACGGUACUUAAUGAAUAAGCUCCGGCUAACUACGUGCCAGCAGCCGCGGUAAUACGUAGGGAGCAAGCGUUGUCCGGAUUUACUGGGUGUAAAGGGUGCGUAGGCGGCUUUGCAAGUCAGAUGUGAAAUCUAUGGGCUCAACCCAUAAACUGCAUUUGAAACUGUAGAGCUUGAGUGAAGUAGAGGCAGGCGGAAUUCCCCGUGUAGCGGUGAAAUGCGUAGAGAUGGGGAGGAACACCAGUGGCGAAGGCGGCCUGCUGGGCUUUAACUGACGCUGAGGCACGAAAGCGUGGGUAGCAAACAGGAUUAGAUACCCUGGUAGUCCACGCUGUAAACGAUGAUUACUAGGUGUGGGGGGUCUGACCCCUUCCGUGCCGGAGUUAACACAAUAAGUAAUCCACCUGGGGAGUACGGCCGCAAGGUUGAAACUCAAAGGAAUUGACGGGGGCCCGCACAAGCAGUGGAGUAUGUGGUUUAAUUCGAAGCAACGCGAAGAACCUUACCAGGUCUUGACAUCCAACUAACGAAGUAGAGAUACAUU